GGGUCGGUAGCUCAGUUGGUUAGAGCGGAGCGCUCAUAACGCUUUGGUCCGGGGUUCGAGUCCCUGCCGACCCACCA
rnacentral:tRNA from 2 species